UAGAGAUUUCAUGGGUCGUCUAUCAUACUUGUUUGUGCAUGCGAUACAGAGCCUAUCUGGUUGAACUAUCCCGGGGCCUGUAUCUGCGAGUCGGCUGGUUGAACUAUCCCGGACUCAUAUCGAUCGAUCGUUAGAUGUUGUGAUAAUGUUCAUUAUGCAUACUAAGGUAUUAGGGUUUCGAUCGGAUCAAAUGCUUGAAGUAUAAUAUGUUUGUAUAUAUGUGUUUGUUUUAAAUGCGAUGUUAUUUUCUAUAAUACCCUAGUAAUGUGUUUUCUCACUCAGUAUUUCCCCAAAUACUGACCCCUCACAUUGAUGUUUUCAGGUGUUUAGAGUCGGAUCAGACAGACCGUCUUUGGUGUGCUGAGUACGAGUCCCCUUGGUGCUGCAGUAGUAUACGUAUGACGAGUCUUAGCAUAGAAUAGUCAGGUCUUAUAGGUUGUGUACAUAUUUAAUGUUUGUUUGAUGUGACGUCUUUUGGUUGUCAGUUUUGUAUUGAUCGAUAGACGGGCUAGUACGUACAAGUUACGGAAGUGAGAUGCCCACUAUGGUUGUAUCGAUGAUGUGAUAUAUAUGAUGUACGUUAUGAUUGUAAACGUGUCUUCUUAUUACAUGUUUAUAGGAUAGUUGUGUUUGCGUUUCCGCGAAAAAGUUAGAGUGGUUUUAGGCUUGCUACGGGUUUCGGAGCUACCACUCCCAUUCCCUAGCGCCGGUCUCGGCUCAAUAAUUUGGGUCGUGACAAAGUUGGUAUCAGAGCAGUUGGUCCAGUUACCUCUGCUAAUAUAUGAUUUGAGUGCAGUUAGUCCAUGAUACCACUGCGAGUCUGUGAUUGAUGUUUGUUUGUUCCUAGGUAUUAGGUCAUUAGACUAAGCUAGGAACUACUGCAGCUAUAGAAUUGAGCCAUGUCUGAUCCAAGUCGUUUGUAUUAUUUGUUUUAAGAUCGAGCUGAUUGAUUGUGAAUUUUUGAUUGAUUGAGAAUUCUUGUUUGUUUCAUUAUGAUAAGUAUGAUCGAUGGAUUGUGAAACCUUUGUUUGUUUCUUUGCGAAAUACGUAUACGAUGUAUAGAUGGUAUCGAAAUCGAAUUAUCGAAAUGUCGAGAUGUGCAAGAGGAAGGAGUAUGAAGUUACAGAAGUGGAAGAACCUACCGUGUACAGAGUUUAAAUGUCUAGAGAACUUACAAAACUCGAAGUUUAAAACUUUUUGAAAGUUGUUUGUUUAAACAAUUUGGAAAACAUAAUUGUGCCUAGACCCGCGACAGUCAUCGAUAAGUGCCACGACAUUGAUAGAAGUGCAUCACUACAUAUAUCUGUACAUACAUCGAUAGGACAUGCAUCAUAUGCAUUAUGUUCGGACGAAAAGGUGAGAUGUGGCAACUCUUUGGGGAUGAGAGACGUCAUCACCCUAGUGCACAAUUUUGUUAAAAUGAAAAUGAAAUUUGAUUUAAAGUUCAAGAUGAAUCGUUUUAUCGAAAGAGUUUUGAAAGAGUUUUGUUUUCAUGUAAGUAUACCUAGACCAGAACUCUGUAACGGAAGUGAAGUGCUCGCGAGCAAGCUGCGAUCAAGACCAAGAGGCGAAUGAAUACGUAUAGUUGCGAAAACAUAGACGUUAUGCUUCUAGGAUAUGAACUUAGUUUCAAGUUAACGAGCUAGUAUAUAGUUAAGAUCGUGAAUACGUUGGACAGUGAUAUGUACCCGAUUAGUGAUGUGUUAGAAAGUAAGUAUCUCUUUGACGGGAUGUCAAAGAUCUUAAACAAGGAUAUAAGAGAAGAAGUGGAUAUGAAGGAUGAAGUUUGUAUAAGAGAAGUGAAUGAUAGAUGUACGUGAAUAGCGGAAUGAAAAUGAUUGGACGGUGAACUAGGACGUUCAUAUUGUAUGAUAGGAGUAUGAAAAGAGGAUAGUUGAGUAUAGGAAUCGAUUUAUAGUUUAUGCUUUGAAGAUAGAAGAUUGCCCUUAUGAUAAGAUGAUGUGAAUAUUGCGUGAUAUUAGAAAAUCGUCAAUGAUGGAAUGACGAUAUGAUUAUACAUUUUGGAGCUAAAGAUGUUAACGAUUUAAGAUAAAUUAAAAGGUAAUAUGAAAAUUCGAGGACGAAUUUUUAUAAGGAGGGAAGAAUGUAAUACCCCGUAAGUUCAGGUGCCGUUUAGUACAACGUGUCCGGUAGAGAAGGACCGGAGUUACAGAACUAAGUAUAUUGGAUAUUAAAGAAAAGGAUAAUAUGGAGUAGGACGUAAUUGUUUAUGGAUUGGAAUAAGAAAAUAAGGAAAAAUAUCAAGAAAAGUCACAAACUAGAGUUCAGGGACUGAAGUGGUAAUUUAACCAGUUAAGUCCGAAAAUAGAAUUAUUUCGCCAAGGUCCGCGAAAUGUUUUAUAGUAUUGGUGGUAAAAGUUUCAGGUCAAUCGGAGACCUUUUAAAAUUUGGACGCGGAUUCAUUUUGGGCUAAAUUGUCAAUUUUGAAGAAUUCAAGGAUCAAAGUACAAAUUAGCCAAUUUAGCCUCGAGAAUAGUAAUUGGAAGAUUAUCGACGAGAAUAAUUAUAUUUGGAGUAGUAUUGUUUAUUUGGAUAUAAAUAAUACGUAGAUAAUCGAGUUAAAAGGAUAAUUUAACCGUUUGGUUAAAUUAGAAAGUUUAAAAGAGAAAUGGUUUAAGUUAAAGAAAUGAGGGACUAAAACGGCUAAUUAACCAAACAAUAUAAGAUAACAUUAAAGGAAUCAGAUGAUUCCAGAAAAGGGAAAGGAGCAGAAGGAGAUAGCAUCAGUGAAGGAAAAAUCGACGAUCAACUUCGGUUCGAUGUCGUUUCUUCGUUCCUCGACGGAAUUGCACGUUCUUUAUAUCGAUUUGUUCGGAAUUCAAUCCUCUAUCAUACUCAAGCUUCAAAUCAAGGUAAUUUUGUUGUUUUGGUUACUGAAAUCGGAGGUUACGGGCUGUUUCGACGAAAAAUGCUAUGUUUGAAUCGAAACGCUAAAAACACGUCGUUUUCCACCAUUUUCGUAUAGAUUCUUGAUAAGUUUUGAGCCUAGAUGAUUUAGGUAUGCAUUGGUAUGAAUUUUGGGGUAUUUGGAGCUUCGGAAAUGGUCCAGAAGCAUCAAAAAACGCUGCCCCCAAAGUGCGCACGACGUGCUGCACUUCAGCACGUCGUGCUGGUGCGCGACGUGCACCAGAAGGGUGCACGACGUGCACCACAAGGGUGCACGACGUGCACCAGUGAAGGGCACGUCGUGCCCUUCAUGAAAAAUGAAGGGCACGAGGUGCCAAGCUAGCACGACGUGCCCUACUUCGAUCGUGACCUCCGGGGGACUUCCGGGAGCGAAAAUUGGCCUCUGAUGGCAUGAUAUGGGCGUAGAACUCUGACAAAUGUCUUAAAAUGAAUAUUAAUAAGACAUUAUAGCAAUGAACAUUAACAUGAUGAGUAAUAGAGAUAUGAAUAGAGAUCUAUAGAGAAAGAUACGUUUAGAACACGACGAUUAUAUUUCGUGCUUUUGUCGUGUUAGGUACCUAGUGCAGUUUUUAAGAACAAGAUUCUCUAAGUAUAUAUUUUAACGAUAGAAUCCUGUGAUAGAUGUGACGGACUAUCGAUCUACGAGUAUGACGAACCAAGAAGCUCGACGAGGAUUGACGGACCAGUCUCCUGGAGCUUACGUUUGGAUAUAAGGAAUAGCGAUCGUUGUGUUUAGAGUCGGAUCAGACAGACCGUCUUUGGUGUGCUGAGUACGAGUCCCCUUGGUGCUGCAGUAGUAUACGUAUGACGAGUCUUAGCAUAGAAUAGUCAGGUCUUAUAGGUUGUGUACAUAUUUAAUGUUUGUUUGAUGUGACGUCUUUUGGUUGUCAGUUUUGUAUUGAUCGAUAGACGGGCUAGUACGUACAAGUUACGGAAGUGAGAUGCCCACUAUGGUUGUAUCGAUGAUGUGAUAUAUAUGAUGUACGUUAUGAUUGUAAACGUGUCUUCUUAUUACAUGUUUAUAGGAUAGUUGUGUUUGCGUUUCCGCGAAAAAGUUAGAGUGGUUUUAGGCUUGCUACGGGUUUCGGAGCUACCACUCCCAUUCCCUAGCGCCGGUCUCGGCUCAAUAAUUUGGGUCGUGACAAAGUUGGUAUCAGAGCAGUUGGUCCAGUUACCUCUGCUAAUAUAUGAUUUGAGUGCAGUUAGUCCAUGAUACCACUGCGAGUCUGUGAUUGAUGUUUGUUUGUUCCUAGGUAUUAGGUCAUUAGACUAAGCUAGGAACUACUGCAGCUAUAGAAUUGAGCCAUGUCUGAUCCAAGUCGUUUGUAUUAUUUGUUUUAAGAUCGAGCUGAUUGAUUGUGAAUUUUUGAUUGAUUGAGAAUUCUUGUUUGUUUCAUUAUGAUAAGUAUGAUCGAUGGAUUGUGAAA